AUUGAAUGUUCAUUCUUUCAUGCAAACACGCGAUGUAGCUCAUCUGUAACAGGUGUUAUAUCUAUAUUUAUAUAAAUAUACCUAUAUGUACAUGUACUUUGCAUAAGAAUUAGAUUCAUUUUAACAGGGUGGAUAUCAUUUUGCUUCAAAAAUAUAACCAUGGAAUCUUCGUGUCUUUUUAUUUUGUUUUUCAUUUCAUUUUCUUUCAAUUCCGAGAGAUCUGUUCACACACUAAAAACCAGAGAGGACAUCCUAAUGAAAAACAUUUCAGAUCUGCAUUUCCAGUUGUUUACUUCAAUCCAAAAGAAAACAAAGUUGAUUUAGGCUGCAGUGUUUGAAACUCAGUGCACCGGAGGAGGGUGUAAAAUAAGUGACUGCGAGUCUGGUGGAAGCACAGCAUGUGAAGGAAAAAUGAUGACAAAGCUGAACCAAAUUCAGUCGAGAAUCAAUCAUCUCUUCAAACCUUGUAAGUCUGAAUGGAAAAGGUACAACGGUCAUUGCUAUUACCUAUUUAACCAGCGAAAAAAUUGGUUUGAAGCACAGAUAUAUUGUAGAAAUCAAGGGGCGACACUUUUGCAAAUUCAUGAUUCAAGUGAAAAGAAGUGGCUAUCAAAGAAUUUUCCAAAUGUUCCUUACUGGAUUGAUCUUACCGAUACUGGAGUCGAAGGGAAAUGAAUGAUGUUCUCCAAAGGAAAGCCUAUUCAGUUUAAAAGCUGGAGCAAGGGUCAGUCUGAUGACUAUAAAAAUGGCCAGGAUUGUGCCUAUAAUAACUUUGCAAGACAGCUCGGACUCUGGGAUGACGGCAGCUGCUAUAGUGCCUUCUAUGUCGUUUGUGAAUCGUAAGGCAAGCAAAGUUCAAUUUCUGUGUUUUACCUUUACUUUUCCUUUAAAUCAAUAAAAUUCUACGUUUCAAAGGAAUUUUCAGAGAUAAAAUUUUAAAAUUCUUGAAUUACUCAUUUGUUUCUGGUUUUUUUAGGUCUUGAAUGAUCUUGAAUGUCCAAAUUGUUUUGCAUUUGAAAUUGUAAAUAAAGCAGCUUAAUAAAUCACGAUUGCUUUCUUUUGUGGAAAACGUUGUGUGAUUAGUAAGUGCAAGAGCAUGUUGUGAGUAUAAAAUUAGGAGGUUUUUUUGUACCUAUAUGAGAAGUAAUGAAAAUUCUUGUAAAAAAGUAAGAAUAUGACAAAAAAAAAU